GAAUCUUCCACAAUGGACGAAAGUCUGAUGGAGCAACUCCGCGUGCAGGAUGAAGGCCCUAGGGUUGUAAAGCUCUUUCAACGGUGAAGAUAAUGACGGUAACCGUAGAAGAAGCCCCGGCUAACUUCGUGCCAGCAGCCGCGGUAAUACGAAGGGGGCUAGCGUUGUUCGGAAUUACUGGGCGUAAAGCGCACGUAGGCGGAUAUUUAAGUCAGGGGUGAAAUCCCGAGGCUCAACCUCGGAACUGCCUUUGAUACUGGGUAUCUUGAGUCCGGAAGAGGUGAGUGGAAUUCCGAGUGUAGAGGUGAAAUUCGUAGAUAUUCGGAGGAACACCAGUGGCGAAGGCGGCUCACUGGUCCGGAACUGACGCUGAGGUGCGAAAGCGUGGGGAGCAAA
rnacentral:rRNA from 1 species